AGUGAACGCUGGCGGUAGGCCUAACACAUGCAAGUCGAACGGCAGCACAGUAAGAGCUUGCUCUUACGGGUGGCGAGUGGCGGACGGGUGAGGAAUACAUCGGAAUCUACUUUUUCGUGGGGGAUAACGUAGGGAAAUUUACGCUAAUACCGCAUACGACCUACGGGUGAAAGCAGGGGAUCUUCGGACCUUGCGCGAUUGAAUGAGCCGAUGUCGGAUUAGCUAGUUGGCGGGGUAAAGGCCCACCAAGGCGACGAUCCGUAGCUGGUCUGAGAGGAUGAUCAGCCACACUGGAACUGAGACACGGUCCAGACUCCUACGGGAGGCAGCAGUGGGGAAUAUUGGACAAUGGGCGCAAGCCUGAUCCAGCCAUACCGCGUGGGUGAAGAAGGCCUUCGGGUUGUAAAGCCCUUUUGUUGGGAGAGAAAAGCAGCAGGUUAAUACCCCGCUGUUCUGACGGUACCCAAAGAAUAAGCACCGGCUAACUUCGUG
rnacentral:rRNA from 1 species